rnacentral:rRNA from 1 species
GUGGGGAAUAUUGCACAAUGGGCGCAAGCCUGAUGCAGCGACGCCGCGUGAGGGAUGGAGGCCUUCGGGUUGUAAACCUCUUUUAUCGGGGAGCAAGCGUGAGUGAGUUUACCCGUUGAAUAAGCACCGGCUAACUACGUGCCAGCAGCCGCGGUAAUACGUAGGGUGCAAGCGUUAUCCGGAAUUAUUGGGCGUAAAGGGCUCGUAGGCGGUUCGUCGCGUCCGGUGUGAAAGUCCAUCGCUUAACGGUGGAUCCGCGCCGGGUACGGGCGGGCUUGAGUGCGGUAGGGGAGACUGGAAUUCCCGGUGUAACGGUGGAAUGUGUAGAUAUCGGGAAGAACACCAAUGGCGAAGGCAGGUCUCUGGGCCGUUACUGACGCUGAGGAGCGAAAGCGUGGGGAGCGAACAGGA